UGGCCAUCUGCCAAAGCUACAGAUUUGGUUUUACAUUGUCAUAAAGAAAUAAUUUCUCACAAUGUAUAGACAUAAUUAUGAAUGUAAAAAAUAAAACAAUAGAAACAGAACAAAUAUUUUUAUCGUCGACAAAGAUAUAAGAUUUGAUGUGUUUAGUCGUUACUGUGAUCAUAUUCGGUGUCUUUGCACUCAUAGUUGGAAUAUGGGGGGUUCUGAAAUACUUCUUAGAACAAUUUGACUUAUAUAAAAAAUGACAAAGAUGUACCCAAACUGAUGACUUAGAGCGAGCUACGUCCAGUAUGCCACCUAAUAAGGGCACGAAGAACAGUUGUCGUCAUCAGUUUGGCUAUUAUAGUAAUUUACUAUGUAAG